rnacentral:rRNA from 1 species
UUGAUGGUCUGAUAGUACUCAUGUAACAAGGCC